CCUACGGGAGGCAGCAGUAGGGAAUCUUCCGCAAUGGACGAAAGUCUGACGGAGCAACGCCGCGUGAACGAUGAAGGCCUUCGGGUCGUAAAGUUCUGUUGUUAGGGAAGAACAAGUGCUAGUUGAAUAAGCUGGCACCUUGACGGUACCUAACCAGAAAGCCACGGCUAACUACGUGCCAGCAGCCGCGGUAAUACGUAGGUGGCAAGCGUUGUCCGGAAUUAUUGGGCGUAAAGCGCGCGCAGGCGGUUUCUUAAGUCUGAUGUGAAAGCCCCCGGCUCAACCGGGGAGGGUCAUUGGAAACUGGGAAACUUGAGUGCAGAAGAGGAAAGUGGAAUUCCAAGUGUAGCGGUGAAAUGCGUAGAGAUUUGGAGGAACACCAGUGGCGAAAGGCGACUUUCUGGUCUGUAACUGACGCUGAGGCGCGAAAGCGUGGGGAGCAAACAGGAUUAGAUACCCUGGUAGUCCACGCUGUAAACGAUGAGUGCUAAGUGUUAGAGGGUUUCCGCCCUUUAGUGCUGAAGUUAACGCAUUAAGCACUCCGCCUGGGGAGUACGGUCGCAAGACUGAAAACUUAAAGGAAUUGACGG
rnacentral:rRNA from 1 species